rnacentral:rRNA from 1 species
CCUACGGGUGGCAGCAGUGAGGAAUAUUGGUCAAUGGGCGGAAGCCUGAACCAGCCAAGUCGCGUGAGGGAAUAAGGCCCUACGGGUCGUAAACCUCUUUUGCCGGGGAGCAAGGGCCGGGACGCGUCCCGUCCCGGAGAGUACCCGGAGAAAAAGCAUCGGCUAACUCCGUGCCAGCAGCCGCGGUAAUACGGAGGAUGCGAGGGUGAUCCGGAUUUAUUGGGUUUAACGGGUGCGUAGGCGGGCUUUUCAGUCAGCGGUAAAAAUUCGGGGCUCAACCCCGUACGGCCGUUGAAACUGGGGGCCUUGAGUGGGCGAGAAGAAGGCGGAAUGCGUGGUGUAGCGGUGAAAUGCAUAGAUAUCACGCAGAACCCCGAUUGCGAAGGCAGCCUUCCGGCGCCCUACUGACGCUGAGGCACGAAAGUGCGGGGAUCGAACAGGAUUAGAUACCCUUGUAGUC